GGGGGGGGGGGGGAGAGGAGUGUUCAAUCUCAGUGCCUGAUUUUUAAUGUAUUCAGAUUUCCUCCUCCUUAAACAUUCUGAUCCUACUUGCAUAGUGGCACAGUCAGACCCCUGUGUUACAACCAAACACACAUACACCAUGUCAGACCCCUGUACACACACACACACACACACACACACACACACACACACUCCAUGUUAAUGAGUCCUGUAUGGCUGUAACCAGCCUGCACCUGGCCUCGAUCUCAGCUGCUUCUUACCUCAUCCCACGAAACAAACCCAGGCUGACACUUUGAGCACUCGUUUAUUUUUGAAUAGAAAGCAAGGUAACUGUAUUUGUAACAUGACACUUGGCUAAUUCAAACAAACAAAAACCCUGAUCUUUUGCACCUUUAGAAGUGAAUUGAAGCAACCCCAAUCGGAUUCAGUGUCUCCACAAGUUCCAUUCUUCACAACUCUGGGAACUGAGGAACCAUAUCACAAGUCACUGGAUAGCACUGUACUGCAUCACAGACUACACCAUUAAGGUAUGUUGCUGGUAAACUUGCUGAAAUUAUUGCUGAUGUGCUUUUAAUAACUAACUAUUACAUUUUGCAAACGAGAAAAGCUUUUGUGGGGAAAAAGCAACUAAUUUUAGUUUUUUUAAGUCUUCAAACUAUUACUGCAAGGAUUACCAGUAUUUCUACAGUGCCCUUUUACUGAAACACUCAUUACAUCAUGGUAUUUGUUAACAGUCUUGGGUUAAGACUCGAGGCUUGCUGUGUAAAUACAUGCAUACAUCUAGAAGUCUGUGUGCACAUAUGUGUGUGUGUGUUCAGCUAUCUCCAGCAGCCUGCUGGCUGUAACACCUCUUUUCUGGUUAUGUGGAAGGGUUCCAUGUUGGUACCCCAACCUGGAACGCUGUCACCACCGAGGCUUUGUUGUAGGCUUUUCCAGUUGCACAUCCCCCCUGUAAGCAGAAAAACAUUUUACAUCUUGCCAUUAAUUUCUUCUAGUAAGGUUUCUUAGUAAGGUUUUACCGAUGUGCUUCCUUCAGCCUAUCCAAGCAAAGAAAAGUCACUGAGGGCUAAUGAGGUCGUUGUGCUAAGGACAGCAGGUGAUAGUGAAAUACCACCAGCUCUAAGAAAAGGUUCAGCUCACUGCCUUCUGGGCAAGGGAAAAUCCAUAGCUACUGGACAACUGCACUGACCUCACUUCUUGCAUAUCACCAGGAAUCUGUCAUCUCCUAUAUGACAUAAAGACAUAUAUUCAGUUUUUGUAACAUACAUUUGUCCUCAAUUGAGGAAAAAUAAAUAGCCAAGUGCAAACCUCGUGUCA